UACAGAGGUGGCAAGCGUUGCUCGGUGUCACUGGGCUUAAAGGGCGCGUAGGCGGCGUGGUACGGCUCGGGUGAAAUCCCUCGGCCCAACCGAGGAAUUGCAAGGGCGACGGCCACGCUUGGCUGCAUCAGGGGAAGAUGGAACUUCCGGUGGAGCGGUGAAAUGCGUAGAUAUCGGAAGGAACGCCGGUGGCGAAAGCGAUCUUCUGGGGUGCAAGCGACGCUGAGGCGCGAAAGCUAGGGGAGCAAACGGG
rnacentral:rRNA from 1 species